rnacentral:tRNA from 1 species
GCGGGUGUAGCUCAGUCGGUAGAGCUUCAGCCUUCCAAGCUGAAUGUCGCCGGUUCGAUCCCGGUCGCCCGCUCCA